UAAGGUAAAUGUGUCACGAUUGACAUAAUUUAGGGUUUUUUGUGGCUUUUGCCCUUUUAAAUACUUAUCAUGAUGAAAGUGCAUGGCUCUUCAAAACGUCACUCUCCUUGAUCGUAAACUUAGCAUUGAGUUUCAGGAGAUAUUAUCUCUAAAAGACUGCUUUAUUUCUCUAUAUUGUGCUGCCUGUUUGUUGACCAGUAAUCAGACUGAGAUUGAGAUUGCAGGAAGAUGGUAUAAAUUUGCUGACCGUCAUCAAAGGUACCCACACAUACCGUCGAAGGAGGAGGCAUGAUUACGUCUUGGAUUUCCUGCCUCCUAGUAUGUCAGAAUACAAAGUUGCAUUCAAUCAAGUUGUCGGACUUCUUCGCAAUGCAUCUAGUUCGGUAUUAUUCUCAACUUUGGAAGAUGGGAAGAUAGUAAAAGGUCUUUCAGGGGUUUUUUCUGAAGGACCGGUGUUGUUAGUCGGUUAUCACAUGUUGAUGGGACUAGAGCUGUGUUCAAUUGUUGAAGAAUUCUUGAGAGAGAAGAACGUUAUUGUGCGCGGGAUAGCUCAUCCGAUGUUGUUCUCUCGAAAAAUGGAAAAUUCAUCUUCUGAAUUUAAUCUAAUUGAUUGGGUAAAAGUAUUUGGAGCAGUUCCUGUAACCGGAAGCAACCUCUUUAAAUUGUUUUCAGCCAAAUCUCAUGUUCUGCUUUAUCCUGGCGGUGCACACGAGGCUCUCCAUUACAAGGUGAAGAAUACAAGUUAUUCUGGCCAGACCAACCAGAAUUUGUGAGAAUGGCUGCACGGUUUGGCGCCACAAUAGUACCAUUAAUUUGGAACCGUGGGAGAGGAUGACAUCACAGAUUUGGUACUUGAUAACAAUGAUCUGAUGAAGAUUUCAUUUUUCAAUGACUACAUCAGAGAAUCUAGUCGCAACGCUAUACGAGUGAGGGAGGAUGAAUCACUUAAUACUCCAGGGAUUUUGCCAAAGAUACCUGGCUGCUUUUACUAUCUGUUUGGGAAACCCAUAGAGACAAGAGGGAGAUAUGAAUCACUGAAGGACAGAGAAAACGCAAACAAGUUGUACUCACAGGUAAAAUCUGGAGUGGAAAGCUGCAUUGCGUAUUUGCUCAAGAAGCAAGAGGAGGACCCCUAUCGAAGAAUAUUUGACAGAACCGUACAUAGAGCGCUACAUUCUCCUUUACACGAAAUUCCGACAUUUGAGCUCUGAUAAUGGGUGGUGGUUGUCCACAUAGUUUUGGUCUUUUGUAUUUCAUUUAGAGUGACAUAAACA